UCAGUGAGCCAAAGCAACAAAGAAUUCCAGUUUGUCGAGUCUGAAGAAUAUGGCAAGUUGUGGUGAAUCUACACUAGAAAUGAAAGCUUCCACAUUCCUCCUGGGUGUAUGGGAGUGGGGCUCAUACAAGCCCAAAGCCCACUGUGGUUUAUUGGCCAAGGCUCCAAUGUGGCCAGUGAGUCUCAAUGAGCAUCUCUUGACCUGAUACUGUGGCCUGGAUUAGGACCCUUAUACUUGAAGUGCUGCACGAGUGUCAUGGAAAUGUGAAUAAGGGAGGUUACACAAAAGAGCUGCUCAGUCCUCACAGACUGACUUCCGCAACAGGAAAUAUUUUUAUUUUUGUUGUGCUGUCUAUACGGUUGCGACCUUCCCACCUGAACGUGUGCAUGCCCUAGCUCUACUGAGGUCAGUGCAGUUACUGUUCAAUUUAAGCAGAACAAAAUUUUCCCCAAGGAUUUAGCUGUAACAACAUACCACCACAUAUAGUAUAAAUUUGGACUGGAAACGUCACAUGGUUUCUUGUGGACUUUUCUUCCUUCCUUCUUUCAUACAAUGGCUGCUGGGAAGUUCGGUGUCUACAACAACCAGCAGUGUGGUUCUUUGAUGCCAUAGCAGUAAGGAACUCGAAGGUUGACCUGGAGUAAUUGUUUCUAAAUUCCAAUUCUCUAGCUCAAAGCUUCUCAAAUGCCUGGCUGUUCAGUAUUUACUGGGCCCAGAAGUAGGUCGCUGUGCAAAUGCAGUGUUGCCAAUCUGACAGGAAACAAGACUGCCAAUAAAAUACAAAGGUGAAGUUUUUCCAGAGGUUCAACAAAAAAGAAUGUGAUGUUUACAAAGUGAAUAUUCUCUAGGUCUGGUCUUUGGACUGUGGGUGACAUCCAGCUGUGGCAGCCCACUUGUGCAACAGAUUUCUGCUCAGGCAAUAGGUGUUCCCUUUCUUUUCCUUCUUCCUACAAUCCCCAACUGAUCCAAAACUGCCAUGAAGAUUUGGAGAACCCUCUGGAAUAGAUCAGAGACAUGGGGUGGGAGGCUACAAGAGGCAGGAGAGCGGUGGGGUCCCAUCACAUUAUCUGAUGUGACAUUGGAUAUCACCCACUGCCUGGUGUUGGAAUUGUAUCAUAAACACCUUCUUUUCAACCCUAAGUGUUAAUAAUUAACAUUUAACGGGGGCAGUUUAGAAUAAUAAAUCUUAGUGCCUAAUUCUAACACUGUGAAUGUAUGCGACUGUGAACAAUCCUUAUUGUGAUGCUUACAAAAAAUGUCAAUGAAGGGAAUAUUUCAUGGAAAAUUUGAAAGUCGUACAAAGAUACUGUGACAAAGUUGUAUUUGUAUAUUGAAAACACAAAGUUUUUGUUUGGUUUCCCACAGUUUAUUUGCUUGAGAAAUAAAGAUACGCUUUAACACAUAA